AGUGGGUGUAGCGUACCUACUAGCCUACGACGGGUACGGGUUGUGAGAGCAAGAGCCCGGAGAUGGAUUCUGAGACACGAAUCCAGGCCCUACGGGGUGCAGCAGGCGCGAAAACUUUACAAUGCUGGCAACAGCGAUAAGGGAACCUCGAGUGCCAGGUUACAAAUCUGGCUGUCGAGAUGCCUAAAAAGCAUUUCAUAGCGAGGGCCGGGCAAGACCGGUGCCAGCCGCCGCGGUAACACCGGCGGCUCGAGUGGUAACCGUUAUUAUUGGGUCUAAAGGGUCUGUAGCCGGCCGGAUAAGUCUCUUGAGAAAUCUGGCAGCUUAACUGUCAGGCUUUCAGGAGAUACUGUCUGGCUCGAGGCCGGGAGAGGUGAGAGGUACUUCAGGGGUAGGGGUGAAAUCUUGUAAUCCUUGAAGGACCACCAGUGGCGAAGGCGUCUCACCAGAACGGACCUGACGGCAAGGGACGAAAGCUAGGGGCACGAACCGGAUUAGAU
rnacentral:rRNA from 1 species